GUUAUUUUGUUAGAAUUGUAUGUAUUACAAAAUUUCAGUUUAUUUAAAUUUUUUCCGAAAAAAUCAAAUUAGCGCUUAUAGCGCCACUACAUUUGUCGACUCGUAUCAUGAGAGUUCAUAGAGAACAAAUAUUCAAAGAGAACAUCUAUUAAAGAUUCUAGGGAAGUGAGGAAGAAUAUAGUAAGAACAGACGUAAAAUACAUAAUGUUGACUUGGUGAUUUGCUUUUCCAUCUAGGCUCUAUAGGUUUUUCCUUCAUGGUUAUCUAUAUAUCCGCAGCAUAAAUUGACAAUUAUUUAUGAAUCUAUGGAUUUUAUAGAUCUUGCUGUGUUACACGGUCUUGUCCAUCUUCUUGCCAUCUUUUAUUAAAAACGACGUUACGUCGCCAUUUUUAAAAUUUUGAAAUUUUAUUUGCUUUUCGGUGCGUACUUUCAUUGUAUUUCGUGUUUUAAUUGUUUAAUAAUGUAGUUUAUUCGUUUUUCUUCUCAAUUUUUACAGAUUGAUGAUAAAUAAGAAUGGAAGAGUGUUCAUUUUGAUGCAACUGAAAAAGCUAGUUGUCUGCCAUGUUCGUUUCAUUUUGGAGGAUCUAAUCAAUCACGGAACAUUAAAAAAAAACCCUGGAUAGCAUUAAUUUACAGUGCCUUAGUUGUGUCUGCGUUCAUUCGGUUCAGAAAGUAGCUGUCCUAAAAAGAAUCACAAAAGUGCCUUUUUUUCGAUUACGAACGAAUACAGUGUGGCAUUGCUGAAGGAAGGAUUUAUGACAAAUGAACUGAUUGUCCAAGUGAGAAGAAAUUACAGCUAAUUCUGAUGGUACUGAAAGAGUCGAUGCUUUUGAUGUCUUACCCUUGCAACAUAAUUUUGAACCUGAGAAGGGGAGGCAUUUGAAAAUUACUUUGGAAACGACUGAAACAACAACUUGUCUGCAGUGAUAUUCCUCCUGGAUUUGGCUUGUUAAUUCUACCUGUGGACCUUAGGAAGCUACUUUCUGCAGUUAUUUAAGAUUGCCCAACAAAUGAGUUCAGUUUGGCGCUACUCGAACAACCGUCUACAUGGGUGUGGUCUUUUCUGGACUUUGUUCCUGAUUUGAUAUUUUCAUCUUCACUUCGCAACACUAUGCAGUUGAUUUUCGACCGAUUAGUGGGAGCAACUAAGGAUCUAUUUGAUUUCAAAUGGAACAACAAAAUUUCUGCUAUG
rnacentral:lncRNA from 1 species